GCACUGCUGAGGAGUCCCAAAAUAGGACGAAACGGCAGUCCAGUGC
rnacentral:hammerhead_ribozyme from 1 species